GAUGAACGCUGGCGGCGUGCCUAACACAUGCAAGUCGAACGGGAUUUAUUGGAAGGAAGCUUCGGCAGACGGAAGAUAAAUCUAGUGGCGGACGGGUGAGUAACACGUGGAUAACCUGCCCUUUGCAGGGGGAUAACAUUCAGAAAUGGAUGCUAAAACCGCAUAAGCUCACGGCGUGGCAUCACGGAGUGAGAAAAUAUUGAUAGGCAAAGGAGGGGUCCGCGACUGAUUAGCUAGUUGGCGGGGUAAAGGCUCACCAAGGCGACGAUCAGUAGCCGGCCUGAGAGGGCGAACGGCCACAUUGGGACUGAGACACGGCCCAAACUCCUACGGGAGGCAGCAGUGGGGAAUAUUGCGCAAUGGGGGGAACCCUGACGCAGCAACGCCGCGUGAAGGACGAAGGCCUUCGGGUUGUAAACUUCUAUCGAUGGGGAAGAAAAAAAUGACGGUACCCAAGUAAGAAGCACCGGCUAAAUACGUGCCAGCAGCCGCGGUAAAAC
rnacentral:rRNA from 1 species